AGGCCCAUAUUUGAACAAAGCAAACCUAACGCCAACGUCUAGUUACAAACUGCAGUGUCCAAGAUUCCAUGCUAGAGCUGAUGCUGCAGCACUGCACUUGUCUUGAAGGAUUGUCUAUUGGAAGUUGUGCUUCUCUUAAGUCCCUUCCUCAAGGUCGUCUACCUGUUUCCUUAAAGCGAUUGGAGAUUGAUGACUGCGGUGAGCUUGAUUGUUCUAGAAUCCUCUUGUACACAUCUCUCACAGUAUUGGAGGUGAGGAAUGCCCAUGAUUCACUAGAAUCAUUCCCAUUAGGCUCUUUUCCUAACCUAAAGAGCUUGCUUUGUACAAACAUCAAGUCCUUUCCUGCAUUAGAGGGACAUCACCAGCAUAUCCCAUCUCUCGAUUUUUUAGGGAUAUCCAACUGUCCUGAUCGAUCUUUUCCCGAAGGGGGAUUAUCUGCCCUUAAUUUGACAAUGCUUUCUCUCUUCGAUUGCAAAUUUAAAGUCACUCCUCGAGCAUAUGCACUCCCUUCUCCCAUCCCUCGAGCAUUUGAGAAUAUCGAAUUGUCCAGAGAUUGAGUCAUUUCCAGAGGGGGGCUUGCCAUUCAAAUUAAAAUAUCUUGAAAUUGAUGUUGUAAUAAACUUAUUGCUGGUCUAAUGGAAUGGGGAUUGCACAAACUCCACUGUCUUACACAUUUCAUGAUGAAUGGAGGAGAUAUGGGGUUCUUUCCAGAUGAGCAGCUGCUGCCAUCCACUAUUACCAAGCUUGGGGUUGGGAGUCUUCCAAAUCUCAAAACUCUGGACUACAAAGGGCUUCAACACCUUACUCCAUUCAGGAAUUGAACGUCGAUAACUGCCCAAUGCUCCAAUCCAUGCCACCAGAGGGGCUCCCUGUCUCCCUUUCUAAUAUAUCCAUUUCCCGCUGUCCAUUGCUGACAAAAAGUUGCCAAAAGGUGAAAGGUAAAGAUUGGGCCAAGAUUUCCCACAUCCCAUUGAUAAGAAUUGAUCAUCAUCAACCCAUUAUCGCGUGAACUCGAAGUCUUAGAGAUUUCAUUUGGCUCAGAGAGCAUAUGCUCCCCGCAGUCUUGAACCAACGCACUGCCACAGACAAAACAAAUUGAAGCCAUGAAGAGCCUCUCCUUCACCUUCUCUGCCGUUCUAAUGCUUCUGUUACUUUCUUUUGGCAAUCAGCUGAUGAUGGGACAGAGCUGUGAGUGUGAGUAAUCAUUUCCGAAUCCAGGCUGCACACAAGAUGAAUGCAAUAAUCUUUGCAUUUAGCAUUUUGGGAAAACUGGGAAAUAUGGAGCUCCAGUUUAUGGGGUUUGCUUCAUGAGUAAAACUUAUAUCUGCCGUCAAUGUUAAAAGCCUCUGGUUACAACUUAGGCUAGUUUAUCUUUGUCUUGCUUUGUUUUUGGGACUAACAAACAAAGUCAUUGAAGUUCAAUAAAGUGGAUUUCUAUUUGGAUGCAGUGAAAUGUGUUUAAAGGUACUGAAUAAUAAUUAAGAAACUUGAA